AAGCUUCCUCAAAGAUGAGUAUUCCUUAUGAAAUUCCUUAUAGACUAUGAGGUUGAUAGGUUAGAGGUGUAAGUGUAGCAAUACAUUCAGCUGACUAAUACUAAUAAAUUC
rnacentral:rRNA from 1 species